GUCAGCUGAAAUACUUUCUUUUACAUCAGAGGUCUUUGAUUCAUGUCCACAGUGAGGAAACCUCCACAAUUCAGUUCUUUGCUUGUUUUUAAUCUGAGAAUUACCGUUAGCCACAGGGGAUAGCUGGUGUUGAAGACCACCAAGAAACAAGAGUUUAAUUUCAAAUUCAUUAAUAAUUAAUAUGAGAGAACUUCAGAAGCUGCUGAGAUUCGUCGUCUUUUGAACUCUUCCUUCUAGAGACCUGUAAGAAGGAUAUUUAGUAAAAUAAUCUACUUCCUUCACAAAUCACGCUAAAGUUUAAGAAACGCCCUAAAACCGUGAUCAAUUACAAACUGUUACUUGUUCUACUCAUCCCUAUAGAACAUCUUUCCUAAACUGUAGUUUUAGAAUCAGAUACGCAAAACAAAAGCAGUGACAGCUUUUCCAUAGCAACAGUGAGGGACUCCAGUGGGUCAGAAAGGAGAACAACCCUCUUUCAUUUUCUACUGAUGUUGGUAUCCAUGGAAACCCCUUUUUAACAGUAUCUGCAUCAGACCGAGAAAACAGGUGGAACAAUACAAAUGCAGACAUGGAUCCCCAAAUCCUCAGUGAUGUUCUAGCCAUCCAACUGUUUGAUACCUUCUGACCCCUAGCACCUGACGAUGCUCAACAUCCAGGAUGCUGCAUUCCAGAGGGUUUAUCUCCUAUUUUCCUCUGUUCCAAACUGUACUGAGCAGCAGCAGAGCUUGGAACCUGGAGCAAGAACUGUCGCUUUGAUAAUAAAGCUGAGUUAUCAGGAGGAGAGAUUUGUGUUCUGCACGGAAUGUCUGAUGUGGUGAUUUAUUUCUGUUCUCCCCACAGCGUCUUACAGAUUGCUAUCAGAAGCCAUUCAAAUAAAUAAAGAAGUAAAUAAAUAAACA
rnacentral:lncRNA from 1 species